rnacentral:lncRNA from 1 species
CAGGGUAGGGCUCCAGCUAAGCCACGUAGGCACUACGGAUGGGCAACAGAAAGGUUGGUUUCUGGGCAAUUCAGAGAAACCAAGGACAGCUACCCCCAGAACUCAGAGUAGCCAACUGGGCUGCUCACAGGAGAUGCCUUAACUGAAAGGUGAUCAGACUCCACAGGAGACCCAGAGAAGACGUGGAAAGAGCUCAGAGGCUGUCCCAGAGAAGACGUGGAGAGCUCAGAGGAUGUCCCAAACAAGAGAGAGCUCAGAGGCUGUCCCAGAGAAGAUGUGGAGAGAGUUCAGAGGCUGUCCCGGAGAACACGUGGAAAGAGCUCAGAGACUCAGAGACUGUCCCGGAGAAGACAUGGAAACAGCUCAGAGGCUGUCUGCAAGAAGACGUGCAGAGAGUUCAGAGGCUGUCCCAGAGAAGACAUGGAGAGAGCUCAAAGGCUGUCCACAAGAAGAUGUGGAGAGAGUUCAGAGGCUGUCGUUACUGCUGCACUUGGCUGUUUUUCUUUGGAUAAUUAUUGCAAUCAAUUUUAGUAAUUCAGGUGUUAAAUCACAGUCAAGCACCUAUUUACCUAGUGGUAAAAUCCUUAAGUAAGUCAUAUUUGGUUGGGAAGAUCAAAGAAAUCACCCAGUCUCCCACAUCCGAAAUUGUGCA